rnacentral:rRNA from 1 species
UACGUAGGGUGCGAGCGUUAAUCGGAAUUACUGGGCGUAAAGCGUGCGCAGGCGGCUUCUUAAGUCAGAUGUGAAAUCCCCGGGCUUAACCUGGGAACUGCGUUUGUGACUGUGUGACUAGAGUACGGCAGAGGGGGGUGGAAUUCCUGGUGUAGCAGUGAAAUGCGUAGAUAUCAGGAGGAACAUCGAUGGCGAAGGCAGCCCCCUGGGCCUGUACUGACGCUCAUGCACGAAAGCGUGGGGAGCAAACAGG